rnacentral:tRNA from 1 species
GGCUCCAUGGCUCAGUGGCAGAGCGCCUGUCUAGUAAACAGGGGUUUGUGCGUUCGAUCCCAACUUAAGCCU